rnacentral:lncRNA from 1 species
UUGUAGGAUAUCUAUUGUUAAUAAUCCUCCUAAAACCAAAAUCAAUAUGAAGCAUUGCAUUUUAAAUGGCACAGGAAGUUUCCAUGCCCUUGAGAGACUUUCAUCACUCUCAUUUUGUCAUUACACCUCGACAUAUAUUGAUUUUAAACUAAAUUUCCCAUUGGCUUCAAAGUCUCAUAUUGCUCGGGCAAGGGUAAUGGGUUUCCAGCUGCUUUAGACUCCAUAUAUUCAUUUAGUACUACUUAAAGUUGUCUAUUGUGCCUGCAAUUGAUCCUCUACUUUAUUCUGUUUCCUGUGCCUUCU